CUGUAUGAGGUUCCCACCUACUUGGUUCAAGUCGUCAUAACUGUUAAUAUGGAGUUCUCUCUGUGUAUGUUCAUCGUCAAUUUCUGAGUUUUCAACCUUUUCAGUCAAGUUACGCUAUGAUAGUUAUUUCCAUUUCAUUAUCAAUAUCUUCAUAACCUUUGUGAUCAUUAGAGGGAGCCAGGUUUAAGGUUGACCUUCAUAUCUUUGUAUUCAUUACACACACAAAAAAUCAUGCCAUAUGUAUCUACUACAGAAGAGUUUUCUGUUAUCCAUAUUUACAAGAGGAUCAGUAUCAGCGGAUUGCAGUUUCAUGGCUUAGUCAUUUACAUUUGUAUGGAGUCCUCACAGUCGCUUUAUUUGCAUUUGACACAGAU
rnacentral:lncRNA from 1 species